CCCUUAGAUGUUCGGGGCCGCACGCGCGCUACACUGAAGGAAUCAGCACGUCUUUCUCCUUGUCCGAAAGGACUGGGUAACCCGCUGAGCCUCCUUCGUGCUAGGGAUUGGGGCUUGUAAUUCUUCCCCAUGAACGAGGAAUUCCCAGUAAGCGCGAGUCAUAAGCUCGCGUUGAUUACGUCCCUGCCCUUUGUACACACCGCCCGUCGCUACUACCGAUUGGAUGGUUUAGUGAGAUCCUCGGAUUGGUCCCGGCGCGGCCUCUGGUCGUGCCGGAGUGCCGAAAAGAAUGUCGAACUUGAUCAUCUAGAGGAAGUAAAAGUCGUAACA
rnacentral:rRNA from 1 species